CACAUGCAAGGUCGAGGGGCAGGCGGGGUUNUAGCUUGCUAUACUGCCGGCGACCGGCGCACGGGUGAGUAACACGUAUGCAACCUGCCCGUUGCGAGGGGGAUAAGCGGAAGAAAUUCCGUCUAAUACCGCGUAAUAUUACUUUAGGGGGCAUCCUUUUAGUAUUAAAGAUUUAUCGGCAACGGAUGGGCAUGCGGCGCAUUAGCUAGUUGGUGAGGUAACGGCUCACCAAGGCAACGAUGCGUAGGGGUUCUGAGAGGAAGGUCCCCCCACACUGGUACUGAGACACGGACCAGACUCCUACGGGAGGCAGCAGUGAGGAAUAUUGGUCAAUGGGCGAGAGCCUGAACCAGCCAAGUAGCGUGAAGGAUGACUGCCCUAUGGGUUGUAAACUUCUUUUGUUCGGGAAUAAAGUGCAGUACGUGUACUGUUUUGUAUGUACCGUUCGAAUAAGCAUCGGCUAAUUCCGUG
rnacentral:rRNA from 1 species